rnacentral:lncRNA from 1 species
AGAAGCAGAUUCGUUCAAAUAAUUCAAAAAACAGGUAUGUUAAGGUCCUCCCUUCUUUCUUUUGGCAUGGUCCAAAUUAUAUGGAAGAAACGAGCAAACGCACAGUUUCCAUAAAUUACUCAAUUCAUAGAAAUAUUAGGGGUAUCUAUAUUCUUGAUUCCCCAUGUGAAUUAUUAUUAUUACCUUCUGUUCAUGGGUUCCAGAAAAAUACGUAUUUGAUAAUGUUUAUCUGAAAGGCAUAUUAAUUUUUAUGGCGUUCCAAGAAAAUUUUAUUAACGCAUUUCUUAUGCAUUUCAUGCAUUUAUACAUGUAUAUUGACCCAUGACCAGAUGGCGUUAUAUACGCGCAUAUAUGCAUAUUAUAUUUAUAUGGGAUACGGGAAAAAGGUUACAGCAUUAUAUAUGCACCAUCACCGGAUCAACUGGUAUAUGAUGAUGAUGUUGUCCACAAUGGUUGAAAUAUGACUCAGACGACGUUAUAUACGCGUAUAUGUGUAUGUAUAUGUAUAUGGGAUAUAGGAAGAGGUUAUGGCAUACGCACCACCACAUGAUCAGCUAGUAUAUAUUGAUGAUGUGCCACAGUGGCCGAGAUGAUAUGAUGGGAUGCCCUCAGUGGCUUGAUGAUAUUAUAUACACCCAUACCUAUACAUGACACAAUAUUUAUACGCAUGUGCAUAACGUUAUAAACGUUUUAGAAUUUACAAAGUUAUUCAGAUUUAAAGAGAUGUUUCUAUAUUCCAUGAUUCAUCUAUGUCUGUUACGUACUAAUUUUCAUGCCUUACAUACUCAGUAUAUUUCUCAUAAUGACGCCCUAUUUCACGGGGCCUACUUUUCAUGCCCGCAGUAGCAGGUAAGCAAGCUGACGAUCCCCCUCCUUAGGAUCCCCGAUCAGCGAGAGUUGGUGUGCUCCACUUAAUCCGGAGCUGCUUUGGUUUUGAUACGAUACAUUUGUAUAUAUGUAUAUGUAUAUGAGUAUGACGUGGCUCAGUCCCGUCUUUGUACAACUAUGUAUCUAUUAGAUCUGUAGACAGUAUGUCUAGUUGGGUUGCAUGUGGCCUUGACAGCUUUUAGUUUUGGAUGUGUAGUUGUCUAUAGAAGCUUUGCUGGCUCGCCUACUGUAUCCUGCCGGUAUACGUACAUAUGCCUUGAAGGAAGGUUUCCUUCUUGUAUGUUAUUUUUGUAACUCAGCAGAUGUUAUUCAGGCUUGUAUCUUAGAUGCAUGCUUAGGGUUUAUUGAUAGGUGGGACUCAGGCACCCGUCGCGGCCCAUCAGUUUGGGUCGUGAUACGAUAGAUACAAUAUUCAACUUAUUUUUUUACACAGGAGUAUAGAGGGUGGUCCUAAGUUUUUUAGCUUAUAGGAUCAUUCCAUG